rnacentral:rRNA from 1 species
UACAGAGGUCUCAAGCGUUGUUCGGAUUCAUUGGGCGUAAAGGGUGCGUAGGUGGCGCUGUAAGUCGGGUGUGAAAUUUCGGAGCUUAACUCCGAAACUGCAUUCGAUACUGCGGUGCUUUGAGGACUGGAGAGGAGACUGGAAUUCAUGGUGUAGCAGUGAAAUGCGUAGAGAUCAUGAGGAAGACCAGUGGCGAAGGCGGGUCUCUGGGCCGAUACUGACGCUGAGGCGCGAAAGCUAGGGGAGCGAACGGG